AAACGAUGCCGACCAGGGAUCAGCGGAUGUUGCUUUUAGGACUCCGCCGGCACCUUAUGAGAAAUCAAAGUUUUUGGGUUCCGGGGGGAGUAUGGUCGCAAGGCUGAAACUUAAAGGAAUUGACGGAAGGGCACCACCAGGAGUGGAGCCUGCGGCUUAAUUUGACUCAACACGGCGAAACUUACCAGGUCCAGACAUAGUAAGGACAUUAUUGAUAUUUAAACUCAGUAUGUUUGGUCGAGGCCUAUGCCAAGGGCGAUGUGCCAAUACAAUGUCGCAAGUAGAGGUUUUUCGGGGCGUCGCUUGCGUCGCCGAGGCCUAUGUCAAUGGCCCGAGGUCGGACAUGG
rnacentral:ncRNA from 1 species